ensembl:lncRNA
GUUCACAUAGAGCCACCAUUCAAACUUUAAAACGAAGACAAGACAUUCAACUAUUCAACUUGUAUUUAUCUUUUCAAUAUCUAUUAUACUUUUUCUUCAGUUCCAGUUUAAGUUUCAUGAUGUUUUUUCACCCGUUUCAGAGUUUAUAAUGGGUGUGUAUGGGACGGAAUGUUGGGGCUAGAGUGAGGCAGCUCAACUGCUAGAGUGAGAGGAGCAAAAAAAAAUAAUCUUAAAAUCUUUUUUAAAACUGCUGCUGUGUCCGCAGCGUUUGCUCUACAGGUAUGAUUUUACCCUCAAAACGUAGCCAUGGCUGUCCUCUUUCAUCCAAUGUGUUUACUAUUGUACUAGGUGUUACGGUUCUCUCAUAAAUGUCACCAAUGCACAGCCUCCUCCUUCCAACUCUUCCAUAGACUCUAAUGUUAAAAUGGCUCAGAAGGUUCGUUUGAAAAUCAGAAGAGCAUGGUGUCUUUCCACUGUCACCACGUCCAUAUAAUAAACUCCACAGACAUGAAAACUGAGAAUUAGGUAGACUAGACAUUGCUGUCGCUCACGGUGAAAGAAUUUUGUCAAUACGACUUUUACUUUUCAUUUGGGAGCGAUUUGUUUCGGCCUGACUCUUCUGUUCAUUUUAAGCAGCAAAAGUGAGGUGCAUGUCUGUGUACGUGUGUAUGGAGCCCUUGGGUGCAGUCACUAUAGCAACCAGGCUCACACCUGCCUGCUUAACGAGCUCUCUCUCUCACUCUGCCAAGAUUCAUCUUAAACACUUCUCUUUCAACUGCUGCUGUGUCCACAGUGUUACAGCCAUCAUUUUACCCUCAAAACGUCGCCAUCGUUGUUCUUUUUCCAACAUCUUGUCUUUCAAAGCUCAGAGAUGUAAACUUUUUAAACUGUGUGGGUCCAAGUGGAGGGAUCACAUUUUAGUCAUUCAGUGAUUCAAAGAAUAUGACCUUUUAAUAUUCUUUCAGAUGUUUUCUGACUCUAAAUGUUCUUUUCUCAUUUCUUAGGUUUUUCUAAUUUACAAUUAAAACAUUUUCAGCUUUUUUCCAACUUCUUCUUCUGUGUAACCUUCAGCUUUUAGCAGUUCAGCACUGUUGUUUUCAGGUUAAAUUCAGGUUGUUUUUUUUGUUUUUUUAUCUCAUUCAAAAUUUUUAACUCAAAAUUCAGCAAUUAAUUCAUUUCAGUCCAUACAUUCAGAUUCAAGCAUUCACACUGCAGUUUCUUCAGAAAAUGCACUUUCUAGUUAGUUUUU